CACUGAGCCACGAUGGGAACUCCUCAUUUUGUCUAAUUUUUUGUAUUUAUGGUCUGUUCCUCAGGUUGGAGGAUCUCAGUUCCUCUUGCUUCUGGUGUCUGUGCCCUGGUGGGUGAGUUAGGUCCAGGAGUUUGUGCAGGCUUCCUGGUGGGAAGGACUGGCACCUGCCCUUUGUUGGUGGAGCUGGGCCAGGGCCCUCUGCUGGGCAGGGCCUUGUCAAGAGGAUGUGUUUAGAGGCAGCUAUGAGCUCAGGACCACUUUAGGCAGACUGUGUCCUGGUGGGUGAGGCUGUGUUCCCACCUGUUGGUUGUUUGUCCUGAGGCUUCCGGCAGUGGGGUCCACUCAUUGCUGGGUGGGGCCAGUUCUCUGCAUCAAAACGGUGAACUCGAGGAGAGCUCACGCCAAUGGCUAUUACCUCAAGCAUCUGCCAGCAGUGUCCUUGCCCUCACAGUCAGCCAUAGUUUCCCACCGCCUCAGGAGAUCCUCCAAGACCCACAGGUACCGGGCACCCUACUAGAAUCCAGCAAUAAAAAUUUUAUUUUAGUGACCCUGAUGUAAUUUGGAGCAAAAGAAUAGCACCUCUCAAGACAGCUGAGUAUUCAUCUUGUUCCUGAAC